AAACAGCUGAUUAUUAACUACAGGAGGAAAAAGCCAGAGGUCCAGGAGCCAGUCCACAAUAGGAGAUCAGAGGUGGAUAAGAAGUAUAACUUUAAAUUCCUUGGUGUUACUACUUCAAAGGAUUUGUUAUGGGAUCAGCCAGCAAGUGCCAUCACGAAGAAGGCACAGCAGCACCUCUACUUUUUUAAGAAGUUCGCACAAAUUUGCUCCAGUCUCCAUGUGGUUCAGCCAUUGGCACAAAACAUCAGAACUGGAAAAAGUGCAGGAGUAUUUAAGAAAAAAAGAGAAGAGCAAAGAGAUGUCACUGGUGAACAUGAUCAAGGAAAAUUCCAACGCAUCUUGUGUGUUUAAGACUCCCCAGUUCAUGGGAAAAAGAUUGCGAAUCACUCUCCCAUCUAUGCCCCUCAUAAUUUUAUAAACUGUGACGAAAGAGGGUUACAAAAGUACACAUAGACUAAGAUGUUAACUGUCCUGUGCUAGCACCAGUGGGAUCAACAGUUGAUCUGCCACCUGUCUUCAGGAGAGAGAGAUAAGUAAGACAAUGGAGCAGCAUUUGGAAAUGUUAAUGAAGAGACGAGAGAGUUUAACGGAAGGAGACACUGGUCUGAAUAUUGUCAAGAUUGGUUCCUUUUGCACCCUGAACUGUUUGAAGUGUGAUGGACAGGCGAUACCCCAGCAGGGGGAUAAAAAGGGGCAGGUUCGCUAAGACAACACACACAAUACCACGAGGUAACGAGACCCUGGAAGCGGUGUGCCCCCCACAAGUCGGUGGGAGUUUUUGGCGGAUUGGUUGCGGGACCAGCCAUAGACGCACAGGGUGGAAAGAUUCGGUCGGCAGGAACCCGGUGUGUGUGUCCACCCUUGCCUGGGUGCCGGGUUCACCGCAGAGGAACGAUUGUAUCUGAAACGGAGGGGUCACAGUCGGUGACCUCAGUAGACAUUACAAAGGGUUCGCCAGAAAGCUAACUGCGAGGAAUAUCAAAAGUCUGUUGAAUCCGAUUUGAAUAUCAGCAUUCGCUCUCCCUCUCCCCAACGGCACGACGGCGAUUACUGCGAACUGAACUCUGUCACUUGUGAUUGAACAUUUUACCCCUAGACUGCGAUAGAGCUGAUUGACCCUAUUAUGCUAGUUCUGUGUACAUGUGUGUUUAUUCAUUGCUAACCUGUUGCAUUUAUAUCCUUACUAUUAGAGUACUGUGUUGCUUAUUUCUUUAAUAAAACUUUCUUAG